CCUACGGGUGGCAGCAGUAGGGAAUAUUGCACAAUGGGGGAAACCCUGAUGCAGCAACGCCGCGUGGAGGAUGAAGUAUUUCGGAUUGUAAACCUCUCUCGUCAGAGAAGAAAAUGACGGUACCUAACUAAGAAGCCCCGGCUAACUACGUGCCAGCAGCCGCGGUAAUACGUAGGGUGCAAGCGUUAUCCGGAUUUACUGGGUGUAAAGGGAGCGUAGGCGGUCCAGCAAGUCAGAUGUGAAAGCCUAUGGCUUAACCCUGGGACUGCAUUUGAAACUGUUAUUCUAGAGUAUGGGAGAGGCAGGUGGAAUUCUUGGUGUAGCGGUAAAAUCCGUAGAGAUCAGGAGGAAUACUCGUUGCGAAGGCGACCUGCUAGAACAUGACUGACGCUGAUGCUCGAAAGCGUGGGGAGCAAACAGGAUUAGAUACCCUAGUAGUC
rnacentral:rRNA from 1 species